ACAUUUAUCGUUUGUAUCGUCAACGCAGAGGUAAUAAUGAACAAUUUUUGUCUUCUACAAUGACCGAUGUAGAAUUGGCGAUUCUACCUGAAGUACCUUGCCGAAACACUCAAUCCAAUAUGAUUUACAGUCCUAUGUUACAUUAUAACCCGGAUGAAUAUGCGAUAACUAAAAUCGCACGAAAUCAAAUUACACUUACGAAACAUCUUGGUAGCGGCGCAUUCGGAAUGGUGUAUCAAGGAAAGGUGAAGGAUUUA